rnacentral:lncRNA from 1 species
UGAAGCACAAUGUAUUUCUGAAAUGAUAAUUUGAUAUUUGUUUUGUCAAUGGCAAAUUGUUUUCAAAUUAAGAUAAAUAUUCUGUUACAAAAUUCUACUAUUAAGGUGGUACAUCUGACCUUAGAAACAGAGGUACUCCAAAAAUAAGCCCUGGUUUUCUGGAAAUCUUAAAUUAGUAUACUAUGGAGCACAUUAAUGCUGAAAUUUAAUGCAAACUGAUAGACAAGUGAAUUUUGGCUCAAAAUUGUUGAAAUAUAUUUCUCUUUCACCAAAAGUUUCAUUCUGCAAAUUUGUUGGUUAAAUUAAGUAAACAAUGACAUCAAAAGCACUAUUUUGUGUUAGAGUAGGCCUUCGUUUACAUACGUUCAAAAUUUGAGAG